rnacentral:rRNA from 1 species
GUCUAUGGCCAUGCCACCCUGAACAAGCCCGAUCUUGUAUGAUCUCGGAAGCUAAGCAGGGUCGAACCUGGUUAGUACUUGGAUGAGACCAGGUGCUGUAGAUG